AUGGAGGACAGUGCCUUCCGGCAGCCCCUGCGCUGGGCCCGGGGGUGUCGUGGAGUCCCUGGCUUGCACCCAGGGUGCAUGUCUAGCCCAUGGGGGACACCCCAAAGCGGCAAGAAGUCCCCCAGUGGAAGGGAACAGGACGCCAGACUCCAAAGGGGACGUUGAGGCAAUCCGGGGGAAAAAUUCCCACGGAGAACAGUGCCUUCCCAGCAGCCUCUGCCCCGGACCCAGGUGGGUCGUGGAGUCCCUGGCUUGCACCCAGGGUGCAUGUCUCGCCCACGGGGGAGGACAGGCAGAGAUGGAGAGAGGAAUGGAGACACGCAGGGAGGGAGUGAUGGACGUUGUUAGGGUGGUAGGGAGGGACAGAGACAGGAAGUGAGGGACAGACAGGGAGACGGAGGAACACUGAGAGAGAGGGAGGGAGCAAGGGACGGAGGGAGGAAAGCAGAGAGAAAAAGCAGUCUUCUGCCUCCAGGAGCAACAGGACCCCCGGGCUCCUGGAAAAUGUUAAGCGCCCAGUGGGAGUUAAGGGCUGGGCCGGCGGGGCACUCACUGGCUCUCCGGAUCGCCAGACUGGGUUACUUCAUCGCGGAGCGAUUCGUAUGAAUUCCAUCGCCCAACGAAUGGGCGAUUUCUUCCAAGACCAAAGAACCAAGACUCAGGUAGCAGCCCGUUUUUCACCCACAUGGUUUACAGACUACACAUCCCCACACUGAGUACUGCAACGGAGCACGAGGAGGAUAGUCCCAUCCACACAGGAGUCACUCAGGACGACUGAAGCGUGAUUUCGGAUUCCACGUUUCUUUGCCCUCUGCAAGGGGGACUGUUGCUCACCUUUCUCCGGCCCCCGAAAGCGUGAUCAUGUUGUCUGUUUGCUUCCCGAGCUCUGCGAGGACACAAAAACUUCCAGAGAAGCGUGGAAGACCAGCAUCGUGUUGGUGCUCUGCUUUCCAGUUUCCAAAACGGCCAUAUUGGAGACUCCCCAUGUUGCAGGAAACAGGAAUCCUUCGUGGGGCCGUCAUGCUGGGGACGUUUCUUUUCUCUGUGGUUUCGCUCUCGUUUUCUACAUGAAAAUGAACAAGAUCCACAUACCUGCAUCUGUGAGGGUAUCACAGCAACGGCGACACCCACAGGCAUUGCCCCCUUCACAGAGAGAGGACCUGAAAAACUCAAGACUGUCGUGGAGGUUCUGUUCCACACUCCACCCUUCCAGGGAGGUUUCUCCCUGAAGACACAUGCAAGCCCAGAGAGCGGCUUCCAGUUUCCAUAGAAUUCCUGGAGAACCCCAGAGAGCCAGCCCCCGAAGUCCCACUUCCUUCUCGGCUCUGGCCCCACACCCACCCACACCACAGUGCCCUGGUCCCUGUGGUUUCCAGCUUUGGGAGGGCUGCUACCCCGAAGCUCCUGCUACCCCGGAGCUCACUCGCAUUCAUGAAGGGGUGGAACCUGUGGGUCUUUUUUUUUUUUUUUUUAACUUAUAAAGAAAAGAGGUUUAUUUGACUCACAGUUCUACAGGCUGUACAAGAAGCAUGGUGCCAGCAUCUGCUGUGGACAGAAGCCUCAGGCUGCUUCCACUCAUGGCAGAAGGCAAAGAGGAGCCAGUGUGUCACAUUGUGAGAGAGGGAGCAACAGCCUGUAGGUCUUUAUAAGAGCCGCUGGCGGGGCUGGCCUCUUGGCUGGACCUGCAUGCAGUGCAGAGGUCGACUGAGGUGCACGGGAGCCCGCCGGCCUCUCUCUGCCCGUGUCUGUCCAGGAAAUUCUGGCCAGGUCUCACCACGAUGUCUCUCCCAACACCUUCCGACAGUUGUCUCCCUGCGGAAGCCCGAGGACGAGGAUGGCGAAGGAGACUCGUUUGGACCCCGAGUGAAAGGGAGGCCCUGUGAGCAUGCUUUUAGUGGAACCUGUACCCAGGCAUCGCCACCAGAGAACAGCUGGCCCAAGCCAUUGGCAUUCCGGAGCCCAGGGGCCAGAUUUGGUUUCAGAAUGAGAGAUCACGCCAGCUGAGGCAGCACCGACAGGAAUCUUGGCCCUGGCCUAGGAAACGCAGCCCGCAAGAAGGCAGGUGAAAGCAGAUCGCAGUCACCGGAUCCCAGACCACCCUGCUCCUCCGAGACUUUGAGAAAGAUUGCUUUCCAGGCAUCGCCACCCAGGAAGAACUGGCCAGAGAGACAGGCCUCCCAGAGUCCAGGAAUCAGAUUUGGUUUCAGCAUCAGGGCCAGGCAUCUAGGCCAGGGUGGCAGGGCACCCACGCACACUGGCGGCCUGUGCAACGUGGCCCCAGGUGGGUGUCACCCUCCUUCCUCGUCAGUCGCCUUCACCCACACCGGGGCUUGGACAACAGCACUUCCCGUACCCCGCAUGCCCUGGGCGCCUGGGGCUCCCCCACAGGGUGCUCUCGUGAGCCAGGCAGCAAGGACCAUCGCCCUGCUCCAGCCCAGCCAGGCUGCGCAGGCAGAAGGAAUCUCCCAACUGGGCCUGGUACUCUGGGAUUUUGCCUACGCUGCCCUGGCUCAUCCAGAAGCGGCGCCCUCCAACCCUCAGGUUCCUCGGUGGCCUUCGCACCCCAACAAAUGCCAGGAGGACCAGGACCCACAGAACGGCGGCCUGCUGGGUGCUUGCUCAGUGGGACAGCUUAGGCCUGCUCAAGCUGAGUCAAAAGGGUGAGGUGUGCUUGUGCCACACACAUCCUACCCGAGUCCGUGGUGGAGCUGGGACCAGGGGCCCCAUGUCGCCAGGGCCGCGUGGGAACCUGAAGCUGGGGCACCUCCACCUCCAGAGCCCGCGCCUCCGGAAGCCUCCGUGUCACAGAAGCAGAUGCAAGCCAUCCAGGCACCCUCCCAACCGCUCCAGGAGCCGGAGUGCUUGUCUGCAGUCACCUCUAGCCUGUUAGAUGAGCUUCUGUCGACCCCAGAGUUUCAACAAAAGGCACAACCUUUGCUAGAAACGGAGCCGCUGGGGGAGUUGAAGGACUUGGAAAAGCCCGCGUCGCUGGAGCCACUUUUUAUGGAGAAAAACUCAGAGUUGAUCUCUGCACCACGCCAUCACUGCCGGGGGUGAGGAAAUUCUGGCACCAGUGAUUCAGCACUGUUUUUUUCUCUCUCUUCAGUGCCUCUUUCAGUGAUAUGAAGUUAAAACCAGAUACCCAGCGGUGGGAUUGCUAGAUCAGACAGAGCCAAUUGAUGAUCAGCAGGGCCUGAAAACGCCAAAAUCCUGAAACAACUGAUCUUUGAAAACUUCAACAUCCCUGAACGAAACGUCCAAACACAUUUAUCCACCAAUCAAAGACCCUUUAUAGUCUGUGCUCUGUGCAUCUCAGAAGUCUCUCUUUACCACACUGUCUAUAUACUGCAUGAGCCAUUAUAUGAAACUCCAAAGCAUCUUAUACUAUAUAUUCAACCAUGUAUCCCUAGUACCUAGUACAGUCCUGCCAUAUAGUUUGCUACUAAACAUUUGCAGAAUGAACUAAUUAUCUUGUAUCCAGGUUCCAAGUUUUAAGGUGAUUUCUCACUAAAAAUAAAGCAUUACAGUUCGCA